AGCAGCCGCGGUAAUUCCAGCUCCAAUAGCGUAUAUUAAAGUUGUUGCAGUUAAAAAGCUCGUAGUUGAAUUUCGGGAUCAUCAGGUUGGUCGUGCCUCUGGUAUGUACUUUCCUCGAUGGUUCCUCCCUCUUGAAGAACCGUAAUGCCAUUAAUUUGGCGUUGCGGGGAAACAGGACUGUUACUUUGAAAAAAUUAGAGUGUUUAAAGCAGGCAAUCGCUUGAAUACAUUAGCAUGGAAUAAUGAAAUAGGACGUUCGAUCCUAUUUUGUUGGUUUCUAGGAUUGACGUAGUGAUUAAUAGGGAUAGUUGGGGGCAUUAGUAUUCAAUUGUCAGAGGUGAAAUUCUUGGAUUUAUUGAAGACUAACUACUGCGAAAGCAUUUGCCAAGGAUGUUUUCAUUAAUCAAGAACGAAAGUUAGGGGAUCGAAGACGAUCAGAUACCGUCGUAGUCUUAACCAUAAACUAUGCCGACUAGGGAUCGGAUGAUGUUAAUUUUUUAAUGUACUCAUUCGGCGCCUU
rnacentral:rRNA from 1 species